rnacentral:rRNA from 1 species
CGCGUAGGUGGUUUUGUGUGUCUACCGUGAAAGCAUACGGCUCAACCGUGUUCCGUCGGUAGAAACUGCAGAACUUGAGGCUGGGAGGGGCUGGUGGAAUUCCCUGUGUAGCGGUGAAAUGCGUAGAGAUGGGGGAGAACACUCGUGGCGAAGGCGGCCAGCUAGACCAGUUCUGACACUGAGGCGCGACAGCGUGGGGAGCAAACA